GUCUACGGCCAUGCCACCCUGAACAAGCCCGAUCCUGUCUGAUCUCGGAAGCUAAGCAGGGUCGGGCCUGGUUAGUACUUGGAUGGGAGACCAUCUAGGUGCUGUAGGUC
rnacentral:rRNA from 1 species